CAAGGCUUGACAUGCACGGGAAUGUCGUGGAAACACGGCAGCCCUUCGGGGCUCGUGCACAGGUGGUGCAUGGCUGUCGUCGGCUCGUGUCGUGAGAUGUUGGGUUAAAGUCCCGCAACGAGCGCAACCCCUAUCCUAUGUUGCCAGCGUGAAAGACGGGGACUCAUAGGAAAUCUGCCGGUGACAAAUUCGGAGGAAGGUGGGGAUGAGGUCAAGUCAUCAUGCCCCUUAUGUCUUGGGCUACAAACGUGCUACAUUGGCCGGUACAAAGGGCUGCAAACCUGCGAGGGUGAGCGAAUCCCAAAAAACCGGUCUCGGUUCGGAUUGGAGGCUGAAACUCGCCUCCAUGAAGGUGGAGUUGC
rnacentral:rRNA from 1 species